UACGGAGGGUGCAAGCGUUAUCCGGAUUCACUGGGUUUAAAGGGAGCGCAGGCGGAUUGGUAAGUCAGUGGUGAAAGGCUUGAGCUUAACUCGGGAACUGCCAUUGAUACUAUCAGUCUUGAAUAUUGUUGAGGUUUGCGGAAUGGGUCAUGUAGCGGUGAAAUGCAUAGAUAUGACCCGGAACACCUAUUGCGAAGGCAGCAGGCUAAACAAAGAUUGACGCUGAGGCUCGAAAAGCGUGGGGGAUCAAAACAGG
rnacentral:rRNA from 1 species